rnacentral:rRNA from 1 species
AUUGAACGCUGGCGGCAUGCUUUACACACGCAAGUCGAACGGUAACAGGCCGCAAGGUGCUGACGAGUGGCGAACGGGUGAGUAAUGCAUCGGAACGUGCCCAGUCGUGGGGGAUAACGCAGCGAAAGCUGUGCUAAUACCGCAUACGAUCUAUGGAUGAAAGCGGGGGACCGUAAGGCCCCGCGCGAUUGGAGCGGCCGAUGUCAGAUUAGGUAGUUGGUGGGGUAAAGGCUCACCAAGCCAACGAUCUGUAACUGGUCUGAGAGGACGACCAGCCACACUGGGACUGAGACACGGCCCAGACACCUACGGGAGGCAGCAGUGGGGAAUUUUGGACAAUGGGCGCAAGCCUGAUCCAGCAAUGCCGCGUGCAGGAAGAAGGCCUUCGGGUCGUAAACUGCUUUUGUACGGAACGAAAAGGUUUGGGUUAAUACCCUGGGCCGAUGACGGUACCGUAAGAAUAAGCACCGGCUAACUACGUGCCAGCCGCCGCCGUAA